rnacentral:rRNA from 1 species
UACGUAGGGGGCAAGCGUUAUCCGGAUUUACUGGGUGUAAAGGGGGCGCAGACGGCAGCGCAAGCCAGGAGUGAAAGCCCGGGGCCCAACCCCGGGACUGCUCUUGGAACUGCGCGGCUGGAGUGCAGGAGGGGCAGGCGGAAUUCCUGGUGUAGCGGUGAAAUGCGUAGAUAUCAGGAGGAACACCAGUGGCGAAGGCGGCCUGCUGGACUGCGACUGACGUUGAGGCCCGAAAGCGUGGGGAGCAAACAGG